CGCAUCUGUGCAUGCAGCAUAUCAAUAAGCGGAGGAAAAGAAACUAACAAGGAUUCCCCUAGUAACGGCGAGUGAAGCGGGAAGAGCUCAAAUUUGAAAUCUUAAAGGGUUUCCCUUUACGAAUUGUAGUUUAAAGAAGUGUUUUCUGUUGAGGUUUUGGUAAAAGUUCUUUGGAAUAGGACAUCAUAGAGGGUGAGAAUCCCGUAUUUGACCUUUACUUUCAACUUUGUGAUACACUUUCAAAGAGUCGGAUUGUUUGGGAAUGCAGUCCAAAAUGGGUGGUAAAUUUCAUCUAAAGCUAAAUAUUGGCGAGAGACCGAUAGCGAACAAGUACCGUGAGGGAAAGAUGAAAAGAACUUUGAAAAGAGAGUUAAACAGUACGUGAAAUUGUCAAAAGGGAAGCGUUUGACACCAGUGUUGUUUUUCUGAAAAUCAAUUAAAGAACUGUUUAUGCUAAGCUGUUUAGACUUUAUCAGCUAACUGUUUAGUUUUGAGCUUUUCUUUAAUGCACUUUUCAGUUAACAAGUCAACAUCAAUUUCUUUUGCUGUAAAAAAGCUUGAGGAAGGUGGCUUGAGAUUCGUCUUAAGUGUUUAUAGCCUCUUGCCUAUGCAGUCGGAGAGAUUGAGGUCUGCAGCGUAGAUCCUUCGGGGCUAAAUGCAUUUGUGCUAAGUUAUAACAUUUUAUAGACAACUUGUUGACUAUGAUUUGUCUUGUAGCUUACUCGCUUAUGUUAUUUUACCUACGCUUAGGAUAUUGACAGCAGUAUAGACUGU
rnacentral:rRNA from 1 species